CGCCGCCGCCAUGGGAGCCGCCGUGUAGGAGCUCCGCCUCAUCUCCGCUAGCUGCCGCAACCCAACGGACGGGAUUCAUCAGUUGAGAGAAUUGGGGAGUAGAUGAGAUCCCAUUCGUCUUCUUUCCUUUUGAAGGCAAGGCGAGGUACUUCUUUCAGCAGCUACUUUCAGGAUUCAACUACUGCCACUCCAUGGAAAUUUGUCACCUUGAUCUUAAACUGGAAAACACCCUCGUCGAUGCGAGCCCAACACCUCUUUGUGAAAAUCUGCGACUUUGAUUACUCUAAGUCUGCUUUUGCUGCAUUCUAAACCAAAUCAACAGUUGGCACUCCGGCAUAGAUAGCGCCAGAAGUUCUUUCAAGAAAAGAAUAUGAUGGCGAGGCAAGAUAUUCCUCAUUCUAAGUUUGGCAAUAUUCAGUUAAUCGCUGUAUUUGCAUCCACAUCUUUUUUUUUCCGGUAAAGACAAGGUAAAAAUAUAGGUAGGCAUAGCAAUUAGUAAAUGAAGGAAAACUAACUAUAUGUUUUUAUCUUUUUUUGUCCUUGAUGGAUGUUGUAUUCUAAAUGUUGUUAUCUUCGGAAGAAACCUUUUUUAAAAGAUGUUUGGUGGUCGUCAAAUAAGACCAAAUAGAGGAAGUUUUGAUACA